UACGAAGGGUGCUAGCGUUGUUCGGAAUCACUGGGCGUAAAGCGCGCGUAGGCGGCUUCGCAAGUCAGGGGUGAAAUCCUUGGGCUCAACCCAAGAAUUGCCUUUGAAACUGCGGAGCUGGAGUGUCGGAGGGGAUAGCGGAAUUGCUAAUGUAGAGGUGAAAUUCGUAGAUAUUAGCAGGAACGCCGGUGGCGAAGGCGGCUAUCUGGACGACAACUGACGCUGAGGCGCGAAAGCGUGGGGAUCAAACAGG
rnacentral:rRNA from 1 species